CUUAUCAAGAGUGAUGGAGGGGACAGGCCCUGUGAAGUCCGGCAACCUGCGUAAUGCAAGGUGCCAAAUCCUGCGGUGCAACCGAGAGAUGAGG
rnacentral:ncRNA from 1 species